rnacentral:rRNA from 1 species
GAGUUUGAUCCUGGCUCAGGACGAACGCUGGCGGCGUGCCUAACACAUGCAAGUCGAACGGAGAAUUUCAAUAAGUUUACUUAGCGAAAUUUUUAGUGGCGGACGGGUGAGUAACGCGUGGGUAACCUACCCAUAAACCCGGGACAACCCUUGGAAACGAGGGCUAAUACCGGAUAAUCUUAGUUCGUGGCAUCACGAGUUAAGAAAAGGUGGCCUCUGAAGAUGCUACCGAUUAUGGAUGGACCCGCGUCUGAUUAGCUAGUUGGUGGGGUAAAGGCCUACCAAGGCGACGAUCAGUAGCCGGCCUGAGAGGGUGAACGGCCACACUGGGACUGAGACACGGCCCAGACUCCUACGGGAGGCAGCAGUGGGGAAUCUUCCGCAAUGGACGAAAGUCUGACGGAGCAACGCCGCGUGUAUGAUGAAGGUCUUCGGAUUGUAAAGUACUGUCUUUGGGGGAGAAUGAUGCAUUUGAAAAUAUUGAGUGCAUAUGACGGUACCCAAGGAGGAAGCCCCGGCUAACUACGUGCCAGCAGCCGCGGUAAUACGUAGGGGGCAAGCGUUGUCCGGAAUUAUUGGGCGUAAAGGGCGCGUAGGCGGAUAGUUAAGUCCGGUGUGAAAGAUCAGGGCUCAACCCUGAGAGUGCAUCGGAAACUGGUUAUCUUGAGGACAGGAGAGGAAAGUGGAAUUCCACGUGUAGCGGUGAAAUGCGUAGAUAUGUGGAGGAACACCAGUGGCGAAGGCGACUUUCUGGACUGUAACUGACGCUGAGGCGCGAAAGCGUGGGGAGCAAACAGGAUUAGAUACCCUGGUAGUCCACGCUGUAAACGAUGAGUGCUAGGUGUAGAGGGUAUCGACCCCUUCUGUGCCGCAGUUAACACAAUAAGCACUCCG